GCAUAUAUUUCAGAAAUAUAUUAAACUAUUAUCUCACAGAGUAGUAUUUGUUAUAAAUUGAUUUGCAUCCUCCAUUUUCUUCCCUCUAUUGUUUUACUUAGAAGGAGAAAGUUCCUAGAGAUGGGUAAUUAAAAGCAAGUUUUGCUGUUGGUUCUGGAAACAAAGUUGAGGAAAUUAUAUUUUGACUGGAGAGCAUGGUAAUGGAGACCAGUGCAAAGAAAGGCACUAAUAGUUCCUGGUAAUAGCUCCCAACAGCUUAAGCUUCUCUACCUGAGAUUGAGAAGAGGAUCUGUCCAGUGCUCUUUAGCAACAGCGUGGCAGCUGAAAUGACUCUUGUCAGUGUAGCUGAUGUCAGGAAGUAAUCUCAGCCUCUAACUGUAUACUAAGACUGUGCCACCCCCUUACAGGCUUUUUCAUAUUAUUUUAAUGCCAUUGUUAGUUUUUUACAUUUAUGUAGCCCUCAUACUUUUCAAAUGUUGACUAAAUGUUACCCUAGCUCUGUUUGUUAUUACUUAUCCAGACAAUACAUAUUUAGUUCUUUUAAUCUUUUCCCAUAAAUACAUCAUUCCAUUCCUUCAAUCAUUUUGUGCUAUCCCCUGUACUCAGUUCGAUUUCUCAACACGUCUCAAGUGUCGAAAAGCCUGAUGCUGUAGUUUAGCUUAACCAGAAUCAAGGGUGGUGGGAGCUAUUUCUCUAUAUUCUCUUCUGCCCCAACAUAAUGGAUGUUUGUAUUCAGUUCAGAAUAGCAUCAGCCCCUUUGGCAGCCGUAUCACACUGAAAACUGAUAUCUAAUUUGUCCUCUGUUAUUAGGUCCAGUCCAUGAUUUUCUUUUCUGAGGAGAUGUUCAUUUGUGCUGGAUAUUAGAUUCCAGCUAUAAGUGAUAUCAUAUGGUAUUUGUCUUUGUCUUUCUUUGUCUUUUGUCAUUUCACUCAGUAUGAGAUUCUCUAGUUCCAUCCAUGUUGCUGCAAAUGGCAUUAUGUCAUUCUUUUUUAUGGCUGAGUAGUAUUCCAUUGUGUCUAUAUACCACCUCUUCUGAAUCCAAUCAUCUGUCGAUGGACAUUUGGGUUGUUUCCAUCUCCUGGCUAUUGUGAAUAGUGCUGCAGUGAACAUGCGGGUGCACGUGUCUCUUUUAAGUAGAGUUUUGUCUGGAUAGAUGCCCAAGAGUGGGAUUGCGGGAUCAUAUGGAAAGAACAUUUGAUUUAUAUGCAAAAAUUCAGGAAGCCAAGAAAACAUAAAUCAUCAUACAAAUCAGGUCUAGCAUCUUAGGGCAGCUGUCUAUUUAUGAUGUCAUCUUCUUCUCAUCCUCCAUGUGAUAGUUUUUUCUCCAUGUGAGCAUGAUUUUGUCAGCAGUCCUCUUUAUAGGACCAGCCCAGUGCAGGGGCCUAGUUUAGCAUUAUGGUCUGAAAAUCAGGAACUUAUAUUGUUCAAAAGUUCUUUCUAUAAUCCUUUCUGUCUGUAAAAAGGAAACAGUUUUGCAAAGGCAUCAGAGUAAAGCCAUUAACUACCUAUAAUGACAAAAGACUUAAGAAGGCAAAUUUAAGAUCUGAUUACAAUGCAUUUGACAAAGAAAUUUCGUUACUGUUGAGACAUCAUACUGUAUAAUCUGAGGCUUAUCACUCAUUUAAUAGUGCUGUCCUUGUAUUUUCCUAGUUAAUUUAACUCUCCCCCUCUCUUCCCUGAUUAGCAGCUAUUUAGACCUGUCAUAUGGAAUUCAGGGAAGGUCAAGGAGGCUGAAUGAGGCCUAUUUCCUGAACAAGAAAUGGGGGACACAGAAAGGCUUGUCCCCAGGAGCCUCACAGGGCCCUGCUUGCUUACAUUCCCCCCUUUUCUUUGAUACUUCUCAAUCUUGAGGAGACCAGGUGUUUAGCCAGAAAGGGAAUGUUUUGGGUAGAGAUGUUAAUCAACUUGGCAAAGGCACUUGGUUUUAUGGGGACUUAGGUGAGUCCCUGCUUCUGUUUUAUGUUUCCCCAAGUCUUCCGGGGAAUGGGGCGACUACCUGCUCUGGCUACUUCCUGCUAAAAUGUGGUGCAGUCCUACCUCAAUUUGGGAAACGGACACCAAGUUAAAAAUAUUCCCGAGUUUCAAGUCCUGGAUCUGAGUCUUAGAUGAUUACGAUCUCAGUCCCUUGACGAUUCUGGUGCAACAGACCCAAUUGGAAGUAGGAGGAACAACUAGAACUUUAAUAGACAAUGUGCACAUUCCCUGAAGAAUUUAGGAGUAUAAGUCUGAAUUCUGACCAGAAUUUGAAUUUGGGGGAGACUCAUUGUAGCCAGGUAUCCAGUUGUCUACUUUUAUCUAAGUAGGUUUUUAACUUAAGAUGUGGUAUUGACAUAUACACAACAGGAGCUAUUGGCCAUUACAUAUCUCCCCCGCCCCCACUUUUUUUCUUGUCUGAUCUAAAGCAAUUUCAUUGUCUAAAAAUUUAAUAGUUACAAGAGGAUAUCUUGAAGCCAUAAUGUUGCAGCUACUAGCUGCCAACAGAUACUGCUUUAAGAAUAGCUAGUGGCAUCCCAAGUCUGACACAGCUCAGAAAAUUCAAGUUCUCAGCAAUACAAGGACUUGUCUGAAAUCAUGAUCACAAUGCCAUCUAGCAUUACUUUGGAUAUCUGAACCAUAGCUACUCCAUUUUGACUUUUAAUAGUAUUUUUCUUAAUGGCCAAGGUAGAUAUCACUGUUAAUGAUUUUAGUGCUUUUCUGGUUAUGAGGAGAUAGGCUCAUAAAAUCUUCUCCUGAAAAUAUCUAACUCUCUGAAGACCUGCUCUUCCAGUUUUCCCAGAGCACAGAGCGCUUUACUCCUGGUCUCCACCCUGAACUCUGCUCAGGGGUUGCUGCAGGUUGGCAGCUGGAGUGGCUUAUGUUUUACUUCAUGUGGAGGCUGAUGGCAAGUCUCAAACUUCACAGUUCACACUGUGGUUCAGUAUCUAAGAACUCAGAAUGAAUGGAUUAUGACUGCUGUUAUUCAUGAAAAGUUUUAUUAACUACAUUGUCCAUAAAUGUCUAUACUGAUCUGGCACUGUAAUCUAAACCUGUCAUAUUUCUGAGGUCUGAGCUCAGGUAAAAACUAAGAUUGAUAAUUUGUGGACUAUCUGUAUCUGCUUAAUUCCAAAGACAAAACUCAAGAUUUAGAAAGACCUUUAUAGACUGACUUAGCACAGAGACAGAAUUACAUGGGAAAGCCUGCUUCAGCUCAGAACUGAGAAUGUAGUGGUAAAAAGCCCCUUGUCACAACUUUAGUAGAUAAAUUGAAUACAUCAGUUGAAACCUAUAAUUUGACUCACUUAUGACAAUUACAAAAAAUAGGGAAAGGCUUGGAAUGUGAGCCAUGGUGCCAACUUAUUUAUCAUUACCUUCAUUUGUUCAUUUGUUCAUUAAUUCAUUCAUUCACUCAGAUGAUCACUCAUUCUAUAAAUAACAGUUAAAUGCCUAACCGAUUCAAAGGAUUAGGGAAUGUUGUGAGUGCCAAGGACAGAACUGUUAUCACACAUCCUAUCCUUGCACUUGUGGAGCUUAUAGAUCAGUAGAGAAAGACAGAUAAAAGCUGAAACAAAGGCUAAAUGAGAUUAUUUCAGAUGGCAAAAUUCCUAUGAAGAAAGAGAAUCAGAUGGCAUUAUGGAGAUUCGGUGCUUAGAUAAGAUAAGGAGGAUAGACUGCAUAUGUGGGUGAUCUGGGAGGGUCUCUUUGAAAGGUAUCAUUUGAGACCCAGGAUGAGAAGCCAAACUACAUCAACGUACAUAAAGCAGAAGACAAAGAAUAAUUUAUUUCAGAAUAUACAGACCAGAGAUUAAAGAAUAAUUUGCUAACCUGGCAAAGUCCUUAAGGUUUUUUAAGAGGGAAAGCAUUUCUCUCUCUUUUUCUAACUCUAUCUCUCAUAAAUGGAAAUUGCCAACUCUUCCUAUGUGUCGAUGAAAAUCAUAUGACUCUGUCUUCCGGAGUUGUAAUGUUUCUUAAGCACAACAACAAAAACAAAACAAGUCUGGAAUUUUGUAGCCCGUAAAAGACUAUCUGGAGUUCUGUCGUGACUCAGCAGUUAACAAACCCGACUAGCAUCCGUAAGGAUGUGGGUUUGAUCCCUGGCCUCACUCAGUGGGUUAAGGAUCCAGUGUUGUCAUGAGCUGGGUGUAGGUGGCAGAUGUGGCUUGUAUCCAGCAUUGCUAUGACUGUGGCAUAGGCUGGUGGCUGCAGCUCCAGUUCAGUCGAACCCUAGCCUGGGAGCUUCCAUAUGCUGUGAGUGCAGCACUACAAAAAGACCAAAAAAAAAAGCUAUCAAAGUUCAAAGAAUUGUCUUUAUGUUUAAUACAGUUCUAUGUGCAUUGUAGUGGCUUAAUAAAGAAUAGCUAACUUAAGGAAUGGAAUUUUGUUUAAUGAUGUUACUUACUAAAUACAUACUUAUUUGUUAAAGAAUGAAAUUGAGUUUAAUGAACUUAUAGACCAGUAGUCUUUCAAAGAUACCAGAAUACUUUAUUAUUCAUUCCACAAGUAACCUCAUUCACUUGCCUAAGUCAAGUAAAAGAGUAUUAAUUCUGAGAGUAGUACCCUGAAAUGGUUCAUGGUGUUGAUUCAUAGAUGAGAUUUAACUUAAAGCAACACCUUUGUCUCGAUCACUCAAAUGACACUUAUGUAAAUAACAAUAUAAGGGAGAACAGACUUUUUAUAUAGGUUAUUUUUUUCAAUUAGAUCGUAAAAUACAUUAUGAUAGGAGCCAAUUUUUAUGCCUCUUUAGAACCCUAAUUCUUAUUAGCAUAUAUGAAAAUGAUGGGUGCUCACUAAUCUCGAAGGCUGUGCAGUGAACUGGAAAAAGGAUGGUCUUUAAAGCUAGACAGACUGAUUUGAAUCCUGGCUCUGCAAAUUUCCAGCCUGUGGGCUUGACUAAAUGGUAUGUUAGCUGAGCCUCACUUUUUUCACCUAUAGAAUGGAGGUCCCACUACCUUUCAAGGUGAAUUUGGAGGUUAAUGAUGCUUUAGGCAUGAUAACUAUAGGAUAACUAUUGAUAUUUAAAAACAAGAAGAGAAAUAGGCAGACUGUUGCUAUUAAGUUCUGUGAGGUCAGAAAUGGGAGCUGUAUCUUUUGGUAUCCACAAUUCCUGACCCAGGAGUGGCACAAAACAAGUACUUGCUGAAUGAGUGAAUAAAUGAAUGUUAUGUUUGAUGAUUUGAGUUGGGUAGAAUGGUGAGAAAUGUUGUGAUUUAUACCCAAUGAUAGACAUAAAAUAGAAGAAUUUAAGGACCACAUUAGAUAUACCAGUACCUUCAAAUUUAUUAUUGCCUUUAGGAGGAAUACUCUUACACUAUUUCUGGAAAGAAAACUGUCCCUUUUGUUGUUAAAAACAACAACAAACCUUCAGAAAGAACUAUUAUCAGUUAUGUCUAGUUUCCAAUAGCAAUUUUCUACAAGACAAAAGUAUAAAAAUUAAUCAAAUAAACAAUACCAAAACACCUGCUGUAAUGUUAAUUGCAGGAGUUCAGUUUUCCUGGCCUUUACAAGAAUCAGGUGACCUCAGUGAAGGUAAAUCAUUAUUGGUUGAACUGUGGUUGUGUUCUGUGAAAAAAAACAAUGUCUCAGCCCAAAGGCCAUGUAAUGAUUCUUUGAACAAUUGACCCUAGGAAGAAGGGUUAAGAUGGUUUUGGAUCUUCAGUUCUUUAACUUCACAUGCAGUAAGUGGUGGAGUCAAAGGAGAUAGUUGAAUUGUCUCUGUACUCAGAAAGCAGGACUGUGUGUUCUCAGGAUUUCUGAGAGCUUUGAUCAGUCUUCAAGCGAGUCUGCAUACCUGCUGGAAGAGUUAGUGUCAACUUAAAGAGAUGGUGGAAUAGACCUUAAGUGGAAAAAUAUUCUGCUUUUCUAGGGACGUAACAGUCUGAGAUAAACAGCCCUGUCCUUUACUGAUAGUAGAAAUAAGGAAAGUUAUCAAGGAGGAAGAGACUCUAGGUAGGUACAGAAAUAUCUGAAUCAGAUGAUCUAAGAAAAAUUGUGGUGGAGGAGUUCCCUUUGUAGCACAGUGGAAAUGAAUGAGACUAGGUAACCAUGAGGUGGUGGGUUCGAUCCCUGGCCUUGCUCAAUGGGCUAAGGAUCCAGUGUUGCAGUGAUGUAUGGUGUAGGUCGCAGAUGUGGCUUGGAUACUACGUUGCUGUGGCUGUGGCAUAGGAUGGCAGCUACAGCUCCAAUUCAACCCCUAGCCUGGCAACCUGCAUAUGCCAUGGGUGCAGCCCUAAAAAAAAGCAAA
rnacentral:lncRNA from 1 species